UGAGGAAUAUUGCCCAAUGGGGGAAACCCUGAGGCAGCAACGCCGCGUGAACGAAGACGGCCUUCGGGUUGUAAAGUUCUUUUCUGGGGGACGAUGAUGACGGUACCCCAGGAAUAAGUUCCGGCUAACUACGUGCCAGCAGCCGCGGUAAAACGUAGGGGACAAGCGUUAUCCGGAUUUACUGGGCGUAAAGCGCACGUAGGCGGUGAGGUAAGUUGGCCGUGAAAGCUCCCGGCUUAACUGGGAGAGGUCGGACAAAACUGCCCCACUUGAGGCUGAGAGAGGAGAGCGGAAUUCCCGGUGUAGUGGUGGAAUGCGUAAAUAUCAGGAGGAACACCGGUGGCGAAGGCGGCCUUCUGGCCCGACACUGACGCUGAGGAACGAAAGCCAGGGGAGCGAACGG
rnacentral:rRNA from 1 species